CAGGGAGCUUGCUCCCUGUAACCGAGUGGCGAACGGGUGAGUAACACGUGAUCAACCUGUCCUAGGGCGGGGGACAACCUGGGGAAACCUGGGCUAAUACCGCAUGAUGUCUCAUUCUCGCAUGGGAAUGAGAUCAAAGAGGGCCUCUGCUUGCAAGCUCUCACCCAAGGAGGGGAUCGCGACGUAUCAGCUUGUUGGUGGGGUAACGGCCUACCAAGGCUAUGACGCGUAGCGGGUCUGAGAGGAUGACCCGUCACAUUGGGACUGAGAUACGGCCCAGACUCCUACGGGAGGCAGCAGUAGGGAAUAUUGCGCAAUGGACGAAAGUCUGACGCAGCGACGCCGCGUGUGGGAGGAAGCCUUUCGGGGUGUAAACCACUGUCAGAGGGGAAGAAUCCCGUCGGUCUGAAUAUGGCCGGCGGCUGACGGUACCCUCAGAGGAAGCGCCGGCUAACUCCGUGCCAGCAGCCGCGGUAAGACGGAGGGCGCAAGCGUUGUUCGGAAUUACUGGGCGUAAAGGGCGGGCAGGCGGUCCGUUAAGUCUUCUGUGAAAAUCCGGGGCUCAACCCCGCGAAAUGCAGGAGGUACUGGCGGACUAGAGACCGGUAGAGGCUAGCGGAAUUCCUGGUGUAGCGGUGGAAUGCGUAGAUAUCAGGAAGAACACCUGUGGCGAAGGCGGCUAGCUGGGCCGGAUCUGACGCUCAUCCGCGAAAGCGUGGGGAGCAAACAGGAUUAGAUACCCUGGUAGUCCACGCCGUAAACGAUGGGCACUAUGUACUGGGUCUAUAGACGGAUUCAGUGCCGCAGCUAACGCAUUAAGUGCCCCGCCUGGGGA
rnacentral:rRNA from 1 species